rnacentral:rRNA from 1 species
UAAACCUCUUUCACCCAUGACGAAGCGCAAGUGACGGUAGUGGGAGAAGAAGCACCGGCCAACUACGUGCCAGCAGCCGCGGUAAUACGUAGGGUGCGAGCGUUGUCCUGGAAUUACUGGGCGUAAAGAGCUCGUAGGCGGUUUGUCGCGUCGUCUGUGAAAUCCCGCAGCUCAACUGCGGGCUUGCAGGCGAUACGGGCAGACUCGAGUACUGCAGGGGAGACUGGAAUUCCUGGUGUAGCGGUGAAAUGCGCAGAUAUCAGGAGGAACACCGGUGGCGAAGGCGGGUCUCUGGGCAGUAACUGACGCUGAGGAGCGAAAGCGUGGGUAGCGAACAGGAUUAGAUACCCUGGUAGUCCACGCCGUAAACGGUGGGCGCUAGGUGUGGGUUUCCUUCCACGGGAUCCGUGCCGUAGCCAACGCAUUAAGCGCCCCGCCUGGGGAGUACGGCCGCAAGGCUAAAACUCAAAGGAAUUGACGGGGGCCCGCACAAGCGGCGGAGCAUGUGGAUUAAUUCGAUGCAACGCGAAGAACCUUACCUGGGUUUGACAUGUACCGGACGACUGCAGAGAUGUGGUUUCCCUUGUGGCCGGUAGACAGGUGGUGCAUGGCUGUCGUCAGCUCGUGUCGUGAGAUGUUGGGUUAAGUCCCGCAACGAGCGCAACCCUUGUCCUGUGUUGCCAGCACGUGAUGGUGGGGACUCGCAGGAGACUGCCGGGGUCAACUCGGAGGAAGGUGGGGACGACGUCAAGUCAUCAUGCCCCUUAUGUCCAGGGCUUCACACAUGCUACAAUGGUCGGUACAGAGGGCUGCGAUACCGUGAGGUGGAGCGAAUCCCUUAAAGCCGGUCUCAGUUCGGAUCGGGGUCUGCAACUCGACCCCGUGAAGUCGGAGUCGCUAGUAAUCGCAGAUCAGCAACGCUGCGGUGAAUACGUUCCCGGGCCUUGUACACACCGCCCGUCACGUCAUGAAAGUCGGUAACACCCGAAGCCGGUGGCCUAACCCCUCGUGGGAGGAGCCGUCGAAGGUGAUCGCG